rnacentral:lncRNA from 1 species
AGGAUUUUAGGUUUCUUUGGUGAAACAAAAGCAGGUAUAAAAAAGUUACAAAGAUUUUAGAUUUUCAUUCACAAAAAAAAAACAAUCAUUCACAUUUUACACUAUACAUGUUAUAAUAUAAAUACAGGAACGUAUUAUGUGCAUUGUAAUGAAAGAGGAAAAAUAAAAACCUCAUAGGUAGACACAGAGUUCUUCUGUGCUCUAGAACACCCAAAGGUUGGUCACAUUUAACACAGCAACCGUAGUCAAAAGAGGUUCUGAGAAAAAGAAUCCCUGUUGGGUCUGCUCUUUUUCAAUUCGCAUUUUAUUUUUUAUCUUGAGCUCUCAAGAUCAUUCUAAACUAAAAUUAGGAAAGACACCUAAAUGCUUUCUUUCCAUCACAGGGUUUCUUUAAACAUUAAAUUAAGCAGAUAAUAAUUCAAAGUCAUCUUUAGCAGUCAUUUUAUUCA